rnacentral:rRNA from 1 species
UACGAAGGGGGCUAGCGUUGUUCGGAUUUACUGGGCGUAAAGCGCACGUAGGCGGAUCGAUCAGUCAGGGGUGAAAUCCUGGAGCUCAACUCCAGAACUGCCUUUGAUACUGAAGAUCUUGAGUCCGGGAGAGGUGAGUGGAACUGCGAGUGUAGAGGUGAAAUUCGUAGAUAUUCGCAAGAACACCAGUGGCGAAGGCGGCUCACUGGCCCGGUACUGACGCUGAGGCACGAAAGCGUGGGGAGCAAACAGG